rnacentral:rRNA from 1 species
UACGAAGGGGGCUAGCGUUGCUCGGAAUUACUGGGCGUAAAGCGCACGUAGGCGGUCUUUUAAGUCGGGGGUGAAAUCCUGGAGCUCAACUCCAGAACUGCCUUCGAUACUGGAAGACUUGAGUCCGGGAGAGGUGAGUGGAACUGCGAGUGUAGAGGUGAAAUUCGUAGAUAUUCGCAAGAACACCAGUGGCGAAGGCGGCUCACUGGCCCGAUACUGACGCUGAGGCACGAAAGCGUGGGGAGCAAACAGGG